UGCCUAAUACAUGCAAGUCCGAACGCUUCUUUCCUCCCGAGUGCUUGCACUCAAUUGGAAAGAGGAGUGGCGGACGGGUGAGUAACACGUGGGUAACCUACCCAUCAGAGGGGGAUAACACUUGGAAACAGGUGCUAAUACCGCAUAACAGUUUAUGCCGCAUGGCAUAAGAGUGAAAGGCGCUUUCGGGUGUCGCUGAUGGAUGGACCCGCGGUGCAUUAGCUAGUUGGUGAGGUAACGGCUCACCAAGGCCACGAUGCAUAGCCGACCUGAGAGGGUGAUCGGCCACACUGGGACUGAGACACGGCCCAGACUCCUACGGGAGGCAGCAGUAGGGAAUCUUCGGCAAUGGACGAAAGUCUGACCGAGCAACGCCGCGUGAGUGAAGAAGGUUUUCGGAUCGUAAAACUCUGUUGUUAGAGAAGAACAAGGACGUUAGUAACUGAACGUCCCCUGACGGUAUCUAACCAGAAAGCCACGGCUAACUACGUGCCAGCAGCCGCGGUAAUACGUAGGUGGCAAGCGUUGUCCGGAUUUAUUGGGCGUAAAGCGAGCGCAGGCGGUUUCUUAAGUC
rnacentral:rRNA from 1 species